UCAGAUGUCUAUCGUAUCUUACGGUAAAGAGAAACCAGCCGUACUGGGCCAUGACGAAUCAGCGUAUGCUAAAAACCGUCGUGCCGUACUGGUUUACUAAGAGAAUCAUAUGAUUAGUAACUUCAGACUAUCCCUUGCG
rnacentral:sRNA from 1 species